ACCAGAUGCAGGAAUCUGAUGGUCAGAUUUUACUUGAUCAUCAGAGGUUUGUGGGUUUGUUCCAGCAGCAUUUACCUUCGUCUUCUGGGGCUGUACCGACUGCUGAGGCUUCAAACAGUCAACCUCCGGCGCCUUCUCUUCCUGGAGCACUGCCGAGUUGUGAGGCGCCACCUGAUCGUCCUUGAAUAUCCCCUCUUGUAAAUUUGAUUUGAUUUGAUUUUUUUUUUUUUUUUUUUUUUUUUUUUUUUUUUUUUUUUUUUUUUUUUUUUUUAGGUAUGUAUAAUGCAAAUUUAUGUAAAAUUUCCAGAAAAAUAAAUAAAAUGGACUUUUAUUUCUCUUAAUGUUUUUUUUUUUUAUUUUUUUUUUAUUUUUUUAUUUUUUUAUUUUUUAUUUUCCUUUCUUUUCCUCUGUUUUAUUUUUUGCACAUGGUGCCUGAGCACCAAAUAUCAAACAAUUCUUUUCUUUAAUCAUGGUGCCAGACGCACCUCUCCUUUUUUCACGUGGUGCCAUCACCACUUUGCUCCACCAUCCUUUUUUUUUUUUUUUUUUUUUUUUUUUUUUUUUUAAUAUAUUUUUUCUGUAUAAAUUUGGGUAGUGGGUAGAGGAAUUUGCAGGGAGCGGAGCUCGAGUUUGAGGAAGAGCUUCUCGGCCGGCUAGUCGUUUGACAGCGGUCUUUGAAGUUGUUGGCAGCUGCGAGGCAAGAGACGGUGGAGGUGGAGGUGACCAGGGCAGCUGUGACGGACAGAGACGCCAUGGCAGGACCUCGAGGAGUUUUAAGAUACUGGUGCAGGUACUGGUGAGGAUGUGCAGGUUCCUUGGAUGGUGCAAAUUAUUAGAUGGAGGCCAAGCGCUGCGGUGGAAGGAGUCGAUGCCGAGAGCGCAGCCCAACUUGCUCCGGGUGUGCGCACCAUAUACAGCAGGUGGGGUUUGGUGGAGAUUCAGACGACGCGGCGACAGAGUUGGCACCACCUUCCAGCAUCUCGAAUGUGGAGCUCUAAUGGUGAAGAGGGGUUGGGCUGGAUGUCGCAGAGACAGCGGAGAUUGAUCCUUGGAGAGCCUGAGCUUCUUCCUGCACGUCUCGCCAUUCUUUUCGUCGCUGAUGCCACGAGAGCCGUCUCUCUCGAGGUCGAGAUCCUUGCCGUUGGCGUCUCUCUCUCGCUCCGCCUGCUGCUACUCUCGACACGGUGCUGUUGGGGAAGGAUGAUCAGCUAGGAAGAAGAAGCUGGGUUGCUGCUUCCAUUGCUGGGCAGCCGAGGAAGAGAAGUGGAGAGCUUGGAGUUUGACGCAGCCGUGGAGGAAGAAGACGGAGGAGUGGAGUUCGUGGCGUAUGCAGGAAGUCUCGGCCUUGAAGUGGAUGAGGGUACGACGACAGCAGAUCCACCAUUUUCUCUGAAAGCUUUACGGAGCUCUGACAGAGAGAAGAUCCUCAGCAAAUCCCUGUCGUCAUUAGACCAUUUCAGCCCAUAUACCUCAGACUUGUGGCCAACAGGCUUGCUGAUGUAAUUGUCUGGGACUCGAGGAUCAUGUUGAAGUAUGUUCCGGUCUCGGCUUUCUGAAGCUAAUAUGCGCGAGUUCCACGCCAAAAUUCCAGUCCUUGUUUGGUGCCUACCCAUCGUUCGAACCCUCUUGCACUGCAUCCCAUCCCGAACCUGGACUCGACCAAGACUUGUGCCAAUUGACAAGUCUGACCCCUCCCGUGUCCGUUGGAUAGAGCACACACCGUCAUUAGGCCUCAAGUCACACAAUUUUGUCACCUUGCUUGUUUGAUGUACUCCAAAGAUAAACACUGGUGCCGAGUCAAACUGCCAGAGCAUUUUGGGAAGACCAUUCCACAAGGUUCAAGUAAAAGUCAUCUUGUAGUGAUGGAGCAUCCAGAACCUUAUGGGGUGUCUUGGGGACCUUGCGAGGAGGCUUGAGAGGACGAUGAUGAUGAGCAUGGAUGGUCGGGGAACGGCAAAGACAGGAUAAAAUCUUCAAUCCGACCUCGCCCUUGAUCUGAGAAAACACUCUCCGUUUCUCCAGUAUCAGCUUUGGAAUGCGCCCAGUAGUAAAGGCUUGACCCUGCCAGUGACAACAGCGUAAGAACAGUGCCGGCGGCAAACAUGCCCUUGCGCAGAGUAGCACAGGACAAGUCAUCUACUUUGAAGAUUCCCCGGUACUUGGUGUGGUAUGCAUUCUUUGCCGACCCAGCCAACAAGCACGCCUCCGCUCCCAAAAAGGUUGUCCAGGAGAAGACGAAGAAGAAGACGGUCCAAGUGGUGGAGGAGCCAGUGACUAGACCUUUGCCGCAGCAGAGACACCUGGUGACGACGUUAAGCACCGUCUGGCUGACGGCAAGCAGCCCAAACGCCGCUAGUCCGUACACCGUGGAGGCAUCCGUGCCGUACACGCAGUAGGUACGCUCGUCGUACUCAUCGGGCACUAUCUUUGCCGUGCUACGGCGUCGUUCGGUGCCGACGGCGAAGAUGAAGGCGAUGAGAUGGAGGGAGGUAACGAUGGCGACUAUGGGUAUCGAGACUGCCAUUGUUGUCUCUCGCUUUCUCAGUGGGGAGUGUGUGGGAAGGACUGGUUGGAGCAGUGCCUGGUGCGGAUCUGUUCCAACGAGCCCGCGCUCCAAUGGACGACAGAUCGGAGUAUGGAAUCGAUCCGCCGCUCAAGGUCGAAGGCGGAGUUGAGGCAGGGAUCCUUGCACACCUGCAGCCACGGCUUGCAGACCAGCAUCAGCGCACUCCAUCGGUGCUCCAGGGUGAGAUUCUCAGGUCGUCAGCGUCGGUCCGAAAGGAGAGCUCUAGUGAUCAGGCUGAAGACAUGGGGAAAGGAGCCAAGUGGGUCAGAUUUUGUAGCCGGGCUCACGGUUUGGGUCUGAGGAGAGAUGGAGAUGGGCCAAAUUUUGUAGCUGGGCUCAGAUAUGUAUAUAUAUAUAUAUAUAUAUAUUUUUUUUUUUAAAUUUUUUUUUUUUAAUAAUUUUUUUUUUUUAAAGAAAUUGUAAUUUAAUUUUGUACCAAGAAAAUUGCAAGUAAAUUUGUAAUAAAAUUGACCUUCAUUAAUGAGACUUUAAUCAAACCCCCUUUUUUUUUUUUUUUUUUUUUUUUUUAAUAAGAUUGACUUUCUUUAAUAAAACAUUUAUUUAUAUUUUGAUGUGACUGAACUCGAAAAAUUGAACAUUCGAGCUGCCUACGUACCCCUCCAAAGAAGAGAUCAAGUCAUAACGUAGUUCAAAACACAUUUUUUUCUUGGUAUUUUCUUUUGGUGGUGCCGUUUGCAGUUUUAACUCAUGCAGGCAAGGAGUGUUGGUGUCGUUUGCAGUUUCAACUCGUGCAAACAAGGAGCAUUUGGUGUCGUGUUGCAGUUUCAGCAGCUCGUGCAGACCAGGAGCGUUGUGCCAUGCAGUUUAGGCUCGUGCAGGCGAGGAGCUUCGUGUCCUACAGUUUAGGCUCGUGCGGACAAGGAGCUUUGGUUCGUCAAGCGAUCUGAGAGAGUUGUUCCUCGCAAUCUUCGUAGCAAGGAGCCUUGACUGAGUAGUUGAAGAAGUCUUCUGGGAAGAUGUCACGCAUCGUGAUGGGGAUGGAUGAUCUUCGUGUCAAAGUUUCAUUAUCUCCAACACUUUCACAUUGUUCUAGAGGUGAACAUGAGCUGUUUUGCCCCCUUUCCCAUUGGUGAGCUUGUGGAGAAGACAUAUGCUUCUUGUGCAAUUUCUUCGGCGUGACAUAAGUCCAUCCUUCAACUUCACUCGGCUUGACUGGCAUGUUUUUGGAGCAUGCCCCCAGCAAUUGAGGUGAAAAUUUUGAGUUGACAGAGCCGGAAGUGACGUCUUUUUCCAGGAUUUCUUCUCUUUUGUCUUCUUGAGCCUUCUCUUCAGUGUGGUCCUCUUGGGUUUGUUGCCGUGAAGAUUGGCCGGUGUAGAUGAUGGUGCGCCUCCUUACCUUUAGUGGUCCUUUUGUGUCGACUUCUAAAGUUGCUUGACGUUUCAUCCUUGAAGGAAUCAAGCUUUGAACAUCGUCUUUUCCUGCUAGACUGUCGAGCUUCUCUCCCUUUGGCGUUGUCUUCCUGUUUCUAGAAGGCUUCUUAGUUUCUUCAAAUCUGUCCAAAGCCGACCGUUGCGGAAGAGAUCUAGCUGUGCCUCUUUGUUUCUUGGGUUUUGAUAACCUUUCAAAGACUGAUCUUUGCGGUGUUGGCGUCUCAAGCCUUUUGAAGACGAAAGUUUGGUCUCGACCACUGAUGCGAUCAAGUGCUGCAAUUCUAGGUUUUGAAUAAUUCAGCCUUUCGAAGACUGAAGUUCGAGGGGUGGGUUUAGGCUCCUCUUUUGGCCUUGUGACUUGUGGUCUUGGCUUCCUCAUUUUGUAGGUCACCGAUGUCCACCCUUUCUUAUCACCAGUAGAUGCAUCUUGGUUGCUUGCCCCUGGUGAUGGUUGUGUAGGAGGUGUCAUGUGACUUGAACAUUGACAGGAAUGGUCAUGCAUGCUUCGGAUAUGCACAGGAUCGAGUGAUUCAAACACGAUAGUAGUAGUGUGUGCCGCAACCGUGUCUUCGAGGUCAAGCUCGAUUUCCCCUUGCUGUGCUAGCUUCAAGAUGAGAUCUUUCAGUACGAAGCACUUUUUCCGUUGGAUGACUGAUGAAGCGGUGGAAUUUACAGUAUCUUGGGUUGUCGGUAUGAUUCAUCUCUUCCGGCCGUCUGCACUCAGGCAAACUGAUCACCUUCUUGUCCAACAAGUCAUCCAGCAUGGCAACUACAUCAGAGUCGGGGAAUGGAUAAAUCUUCUCCUCAAGCUCCUUCAAAGUACGUCUACGCAUCUCUUGAUCACGAAAAUCUUUGGUUUGAAUCGCCUUGCCUCGUGUAGGAGAUUUUGACGGGAGCUUUGUUGACUGUCAUUGCUUCCUUUGUGGAUUUCCACGUAGCCUUCUCCACCUUUGUCUCAAGAACUUUGUCGUUCUUGUAGUUGGCGAUCGGUUCCUUCUUCCCAUGAUGGGCGAUGCUUAGCUCCAUGUCAUGGGCGCGAGUGGCUAGCUCUUCGAAGGUCCGUGGUUUGAUGCCUUGAAGAAUGUAUUGCAAACCCCAUUGCAUGCCCUGGAUGCACAUCUCAAUUGAAGAGGUCUCCGAGAGCCUAUCUUUGCAGUCGAGGCUUAGAGUGCGCCAUCUGUUGAUGUAGUCAAUGACUGGCUCGUCCUUCCACUGCUUUGUGCUCGUUAGCUCUAGCAUGCUCACAGUGCGGCGGGUGCUGUAGAAGCGGUUGAGGAAUUCCCGCUCUAAUUGCUCCCAGCUGUUGAUGGACUCGGGCUCUAGGUCCGUGUACCACUCAAAGGCAUUUCCUUUCAGCGAGCGCACAAACUGCUUGGCGAGGUAGUUUCCCUCUGUCCCCGCGUUGUUGCAAGUUUCGACGAAAUGUGCAACGUGCUGCUUUGGGUUUCCUUUUCCAUCAAACUGCAUGAACUUUGGUGGUUGAUAACCCCUUGGCAUCCUUAGGGCAUCAAUCUUCUUGGAAUAGGGCUUCGAGUAGAACAAGGAGGUAUGUGAGCUCCCUUCGUACUGUGCCUUGAUGGUGUUGGUGAUCAUCUCCUGCAGCUGCUGGAUAGAAAGAGAUCCCAUGAGUGCCGUUGCUUGGUCUGGCUCCGGCUUCCCAUCGAUUUUCUUCACCGGGGGUUCUUCGUCUCCGCCAGCUCCUCCCUUUAGUGGAUCAUCCUCUGGGUCGGGUUUAUCGCCGUCUUGUGCCUCCAAUCGGUUGACUAGUGCUGCAAUUUGCAAGUCUUUUUCUUCCACAGUUCGGGUUAGCCUUGCGAUUGCUUCAUUCAUUUGAGCCAGCUGCUCAUCGAUUGAAGUUGCUCCAAUGGUCAUGACUUGCAUGGCUGAACUGUCGCUUGAAUCGGCAGCAUCGGAGAGCAUGGAUUCGGAGUAUUUCCUUGGGCUUUCCCCCCUUGGUGCCCUUAGUGAGGCUAAGGUGAUCAAAGGCUCGUGCCUUGGGUGCUUUUGUUCCCUUGGCAGAGUUGAUGCAGAGGUGAAAGAGGCGGCAGAAGUAGCUCUUGCCAUGCUUCGAGUCGUGAUGCCCAAAGUGACACCAGUUGCGACGAGGACGCUUUUGUUAUUUGCGCCGGUUGCGGGAACAGUUUGAGCCUUCCUUGAUGCCAUUAAUUUUGGAAGUGCCCUUGAAUUUCUUGAACGGAGAAAGAGAUGAGAGGCAGAGAUUGUCCCACUGGGCGUGCCAAUUUGUGAACACGGAAAAUUCCUGAAACGAAAGAGACAAGAACAACGUGCACAAACAAAUAUUUGUAUUUGAUGAUUUUGGGUUACAAUCUCUCUCUAUUUUGAUCCUCUGAUUCGAUCUCCGUAAGGUGUUGAUUGGUGGAUAUUUCGUUGAUCCAAGGGCCGUCAAGGCUUGAUCUUGGAUGAACUGUUGGAAGUUUCUUCAAAUGGCCGUGGGCUUGAUCUUUGGAGGUGGAUUUGAGCGGAUCUUCAAGGAGCCGUUGGGGCUUGAUCUUGAGGAUGAAUGUUUCUUCAAGGGCCGUUUGAGGCUUGAUCUUGAAUAACGGUAAUGAGCAGAUCUUCAAGGGCGUUUGGGCUUGAUCUUGAAGAACAGUGAUGGACGGAUCUUCAAGGGGUUUUGGGCUUGAUCUUGAAGAACGGUUGGAUGUGUGGAUUUGUCGACGUUGUUAAUCCAAAGGGGCCGUUGGGGCUUGAUCUUGGAUGAACGGAUGAUGAACGAUGGGGCUUUCUUCAAGAGUCGUCGGGGCUUGAUCUUGAAAGAACGAUGAACGAAGAACGAAGAACACUUUCUUCAAGGGCCGUCGGGGCUUGAUCUUGAAUUGGUGGAUGAUUGUUGAUCCAAAGGGCCGUUUGGGCUUGAUCUUGGAAGAACGAUGAACGAAGAACGAAGAACACUUUCUUCAAGGGCCGUCGGGGCUUGAUCUUGAAUUGGUGGAUGAUUGUUGAUCCAAAGGGCCGUUUGGGCUUGAUCUUGGAAGAACGAUGAACGAAGAACGAAGAGAGCUUUCUCGAUUCUUCGGGAACCUGGAUGCUUGAGAGCUUCGGAGUUUCAGAGCUUCAGAGCUUCAAGGUGUAAUCUGAAUUCUCCCUUAAAUGAAUGAAAUGGGCUUGUAUUUAUAGAAUUUUCCAAGGCCUAACUUUGAAUAUAAUAUUCCAGAUGAAAUAAGUCGUUUCUGCCAGGUGUUGACACGUGUCCUAUUUGAUGACUUUUCCAACUCAUUUCAAUUUUCGUUGAGUCACACGCUACGUGUAAAAUUUAUGUAAUACAUGAGCGUUGACACUUUGAUUUAUCGGUCAACAUUUAUUUACCGAAAUUUCGAUGUCUACAACUUCAUUAGAUAUGUCAUUCUAUAUUGUAGUUUGUGAUGAAAUUAUAUAUGUCUUAAGUAUAAGCAGACACUUAUUUAAACGAAAUAUAAUAGAUUUACUUAAAUACGCCUAGUCCGCCUAGGCGCCCGCCUAGUCGCCUAGGCACUAGGCCUCAUCCCGCAGCCUGACUACGCCUAGCGCCUUUUAGAACCUUGGUCAAUGGCAGCGGGUAGGAUCGGCGAGAAUUUUUGGACUUCUAGUUACAGGUCAAGGCAAGCGGAUCAGACUGGUGGAUGUAAGGGUCUGGUUGCGAUGGUUCAAACAGAGAUGUGAGGCGGUUGCGACGACAACAAGGGUAGUUCUGGUUAUGCGAUGGUGAUGCCGAUCUUAGGUAUAAGUGGAAUCGAUCAGGUGUGGCGGUGGUCUCGAACUCAUGAAGGAUUCGAACGGGUCUGAGCAGCAGCGGUUCAACAACAGUGGUGGUUCAGGGCAUCGAGGACAGAAGGCGUGCGAGGUUUUAGGUGCGACAGUGUCGUGGUGACUAUAGAAAAUUUGACGAAAUGUGAAUGAGUGCAAACGGCAGCUCCGGUACAGGUUUGGGUUCUGGCAGAUAACAAACUGCGAAAAGUCGCAACGAUUUGGGUUCUGGGUUUUGCGCGGUAUGCCUCCCAAGUAAAUAGAUUCAACUUUUUUUCUUUUGUUUUAAAAAAAAAAAAAAAAAAAAACUAACUAAUACAAAACUGAUACUGAACAAACAAACAAAUCGAUAUCAACCCCAAAACAAAUUAAUUCCCGAAGGAUUUAACUUGCUCUAAUACCAAGUUGAAUAUCAGAGUAUGCAACGAACUAAUUGAAUAUAAAAUUUUAGAUAGUAUUGCCAAAAAUGCUACAUGAAUCGAAGAAGUUACAUUGUAACUAACUUAUUAUCGAUUGAAUAACAAACAUGUUAUUUAUAACAAACUAACCCUAAUCUUAAAAGGUAAAAAAUCAAAACCCUAAAGCUAACAGGUUAAGCCCAAAAAACCAAAUAUUAAAGUAAACCUAAUACUAAUAGUUUCCAACAGUUUACACAAGCAUCAUAUGCGCGAGUAAGUCAUAAAAUCUCAAAAUAGUUACAUGCUUUUGCAUUAUUUUUUUUUAAAGAGAAUCGAUAGAAAAAUGACAACAACUUAGAAUUUUGGAGAAGAACGUCCUGAAUGAUGUCAGAAAGAAACUCCUUUCAAAUUAUUGUGAUUGAUGUUUAGAACAAACCUGGCAAGUCGGUGAGCCACCUCAUCGUGAGAAAUUUUUAGAUGUGACGGGAAGACGAGUGGUAAAUCACAUGUUUUUAUGUAAGUGGUAAUAAAUUUUAUUUUUUAAGUUAUUAACAUUUUAACACACAUAUCCCACAAUUUGUAUAAUGACACGUCAUGCACCAUCUCGUAUGCCGAUUACACUGAAAAAUCUCCCUCACAACGACAAAAGAAAGGGAAAUGCUAAGGAACUCGCCCCAAGCGAGUGUGGAAGAACUCUCCUUUCAUGUAAUAGUACUUCGAACGUUAAUGCUAAUUACGGGUUCCAUAAUUUAAAUUGAUAGUGGGACCCAUAAUUACUAGCAUGAUCAAAUGAAGGAGUAUUUCGUGGGCGAAGAGUCCUUUCAGACUCGGUUUGGGACGAGUUCCCUGGCAAUUUAUUCAGAGGAAUAUACUUAAGAUCUAAGAAAAAUAGAUUUUCAUACUACAUGAGUAUAAAUGUCAAGUUUAAUUACAUUAAGGGUAAUGUUAUCCACAUGCUUAUUUUUACUUCUCACAUUAUCAUCUCAAUUUUUAGCCGUCGAAUCAAACAGUUGAAGAAGAUUGAUGAUAAAAAUUUAACAAGAGUGUGUGAGAGGUAAAAACGAAUAUGUAAAUAUUAUUAUCCUUACAUUAAUAACACCAAUUACAUCAUGUCAUGCAUAAGAAUAAAACUCAUCAUUUGUUAUUUAUAUUUUAAACUAUUCAAACUCACAACAAGAAAAAAAUAUUCAAUGUGCAAAGUAUGGGUAAGAUUUUUCUUUCACUCAUCAGAUGUGCCCGGCCAAAAGAAGAUCUCCAGUGAAAGUUGGACGCUUGAUGGAAAUAUUUUGGAGGAAUGAAAUUAUGGGUUAAAUUAGAAAAUUGGUGGUUGUAAUAAUAGGACGUCCAAGUCCAUGCAAGUUCAUGUCUUUUGUCGGGGCGCAAUGGACGAAUGGAGGUCGAUGCCCCACCAAAAAACAAAUGGUAAUCCCCCAUACUUCUCUGGAUACAUCCAGAACUAGAAAGAAAUAAUACUACGUCGUCCAACAACUUCUGGAUUUGGUCGCGGCGCAGUCGUAAUCAUGUGGAGCUCCGACCGAAAAUAUCUCGCGAAAUUCCGGCCAAUCAGAAAAAGGUUCAAAAUUCGGUCGAGUGUGCACUUACGUGGUUUCAUGUGGACUGCUGCUAUACUUCUAUGCUACAAUACUCGAGUUUGAAUCUCACAUCUCGAAGUGUUGAUUAAACACUUGGAUUUGAAUUUCACACCUCAAAAUGUAAAAUAUAUUAACUAAAAUAUGAAAUUUAGGAAAUACCUUCAGCUUCUGACUUUGAAAUAUGGGUAAUCCUAAUGAGACUAAAUUUUUUAACCAAAUUUGCAAAUCAAACGAUGUGGUUGUAGAUUAUUGGAUAAUGGAUAAUGUUAGGGAGACAAAAAAAUUUAAACCAAAUUUGCAAACUAAAUGAUGUGGUUGUUGAUGAUUAGAUUAUUACUUAAACGUUGAUUAACGUGUUUAUUUCUUAUUGAUGAGACAUCAUUUGGUUUGCAAAAAAAUUGAUUUACAAUUUCGUUCUCUCUAGCAUUACUCUUGGAUUAUUAACUAAGUGUUGAUUAACGUGCUUGUUUCUUAUUGGUGAUAUAUCAUUUGGUCUGCAAAUUUGAUUUAAAAAUUAAUAUCCAUUAUUCCUUAAAUAAUUAUCAAACUUUAUUCAAUAAGACGAAAAACUCUUCUUCACAAUAUAUAGUUGUUUGGACCCAAUUUUACACUAUCGACUCGUGCAAUCAAGGCCGUUGAUGAACAUAGCUCUCAACCGUUGGAUGACAAAAUUGUUAAGAUAAUUAUUAUUGAAGGAUAUAUUGUGGUUUUAAUCAUGAUAUUAUCUUUUAAUGAAUUAUCCUGACACUUUUCUUAUACGAGAUAAAUGUGAAGCGAUUCAUAUCCCGAAUAAGCAGUACAAUUCGAAUUGAUUUGGGAUGUCUGACAGCACUUGGAAGUAAAAUGAAUUUAAAAUUCAUUUGAUCAGAAUGAUGAUGGCUAUUGUUGAUGAGGUGAGGAUGAAGAGUAGGUAGAUAGAGGUUUAUUGUCAGAUGAAGUGAAUUGGUGAUGGACAUGGCCUGCAUGCCGUGUCAAAGGCUAUAUAUAUAUAUGUAUAUAUAUAUAUGUAUAUAAUUGAUGGUUGAUUAGAUGGACGUUAUCCAAGCAUGCGGGUUAUCUUGGAUUCGAUGAGAUAAGAUGAGUUUUAAUAGUUUGGGAGUCUGUCUCAUCUUAUCAACCAAUGUGUAUUCGUCACUAUAAAUACAGAGUCGCAGGCAACAUUCAAGGCCCUCUCCAAUUCAACACACAAAACUACCCUGCGCAAACUUUCUCAACAACUUUGAGAUUUUUUAUUCUCUCUUUUCGCUAACACAUCUUCCGUUGGCAUCAACAGUACUGUGAAAGCAACCAGUGAUAUCUUAAGUCGGCAUAGAUAGCUCUGUCACCGUAGAAUCAGCCGGUCUCGCAGCAUCUUCUAUUGGCAUCAACAGCACUACGGCAAGGACGGUUGAUUACCUAUCCAAGUCUCGGUCGAGAAGGAUUUCUGAAUCCUUAUUGGUCGAGGUCAUCUCAUCAGCCUUCUCGGCAAAGUGAGGUGUUACAGUUAUUACAUUCGACACAUUGAAAGACGAAUUCGAUUCGUGAACUUCGUAAGAAUAGUAGCCUUGUCUUCAGCCUCGAGAAUCUAAGAGGCCGAGACGUGUUCCUUUCUCGGCCACAAUCGCAAGACGCAGAAGUCAGUAGCGCGACCCAACGCAACAUCAACAAAUUUUACUCCUCGGCCGAGCUCGGCCGACGAGUUGGCACGCCCCGCACAUUCACCGAAUGACGUAGUUAGCUUAUAGAUUACUCGACCUGCAUGCCACGUAGGCUUGGUAGUUUUUAGGGUCAACAAUAGCUCAUUAACUUAUUAUGACUAUGAAAUAUGAAUUUUAUUUUAUUUUAACUGGAACCAACCAAAUAGUCAUUAACUUAUUAUGACUGAAAUUUGGGGAGAUCCAAAAAGAAAAUAUAUUGAUUUACUACAAACAAUAACCAAGAAAUACUUGAGUAAAGAUGUCCUAGAUCACAUCACGCUAUUUAUAUUUUGAAAUCUUUUGUAUGUGGGGUAAUGUUAAGGAGUUUAAAAUUUUAAAUUAAAUUUACAAAUCAAAUAAUGUGUCAUUGGUAGAAAAUAAAUACGUUAAUCACGACUUAAAUAAUAAUUCAAUCAUCAACGACCAUAUUAUUUGAUAUACAAAUUUAGUCAUUCGACACUAUACUUCAAUCACGUAACUUGAAAACGAUCGUAAGUAGACAACUCUACAGAAAUUUAGUUCACAAUAUAAAGUGUAAAGCAUAAACAUUAUCAUUUGUAUUGUAUCAAUAUAUUUUUUUUCACCCUUGUAAUUUAAAUAUCUCAUUUAUAUAGAAAAAAAUAAUGGAAAUGGGACAUACAAUACAAGGCUGCCCGUUAUUUCCACAGAAAAAAGCAUAAACGAGAAUCACAAAAAAUAGAAAGAAGGCAAAUUUGAUCUGCGGCCACAAAAACUCUGAAUCGUAAGACGCCAACUUACCCCUUUACGCAACACACAGAUAACACACGCUUUCGCUCUCUCUCUCUCUCUCUCUCUCUCUCUAUAAAUUUGUCUCUUUGGUACGAAUUGCACAAGUCAAUCUGCUCAAUUCGAUUCCCAUUUUUCCAAUUAGGGAUUUCAUUGUAAAUCGAAAAAGAAUCAGAAUUUCAUUUGUAUUGUGGGGAAUUUCUCAGUUCUAAUCUUAAAUUAUAGGGUUUUGGGUUCGGGAGCUGAAAGAUGGAAGCAGCAGCACAUCGAGUGUUUUCCAAUCAUCAAUCGCCGCAUCCAGGCCUUCCAAUUCGAUUGGUCGGUCGGGGAUUUUGACGGCCCAUGGCCCCGGAUUUCUGCGUUUGGGUCCCAAAGCUCACUCGCCAAGCAAGGUAAUUGAUGAGAAUUCUAGGGUUCUUGUUGCUUUUCAAUUUUGCAUGAUCCCGAAUGGUUUGUGAGUAAUCGGUUCCCCUGAUAAUUGAUGAGAAUUCUAGGGUUUCUGUUAAAUUCAUAAAUGUUCAAUCUUUGAUUAGGAUUUUAGCGCUUUUAGUUGAUGCAGUUCAAUUGUGUUGUUUAUAGCAUAUGAUUUACUGUCUAUGCCAAAAAUCAAUUUCUGAGCCUCAUCUGAUUAUUUUGGAAUAUUUCUAUCUACGAUAGAAAAUGGAGAUGUACUUGAGUAAUAUUUGAUCUGAUUCCUUGUUUAGCAGCAUCAGUUUUCAAUCUGUCAACCGAAGGUGGGGCAUAGGAGAAUGGGAUAUGGAAGCAGGAGAGGCUUGGUAGUUAGGGCGGCAGCUGCAUCUUCGUCUCCGGACUCAGCUGGUUCUGAUUCUCCAAUUGCCCCACUUAAGCUGGAGUCUCCAAUUGGGCAGUUCCUCUCACAGAUAAUGAUAAGCCACCCGCACCUCGUGCCUAGUGCAGUGGACCAGCAGCUUGACCUGCUUCUAACCGACCGUGAUGCUGAGGAAAAGAAGGAAGAGCCUUCUGCUUCUGGUACCGACAUCGUUUUGUACAGGUUAGUUGCGAUCUCGAGAUUGAGUGCUAAGCUAAUAGCCACUGAUGUUUUCAAUUAAAUCAAGUUAAGCUGCAGAAUGAACCUUAAGUUUGAUGCUGUUUUCCUUAUGAAAAUCAGAAUAAAGGAAGCAAGUUUGAAAUUUUCGUGUAAUUGUCCAGAAGACAAGACAUGGGACGAAAAUAAUCGAAAAGAAUGAAAAGAAAAAGAAUAUUCGUUCUUUAUGUUGUUUAAAGUUUCCCUUUUUGUCAUCAUUUGUUAUGUGUGUCUAAAUGGAGAAUUGCAGUUUUGGAGUGAGAUAUUGGUCUUUUACUAACUUCUUCUGCAUUAUCAGGAGGAUCGCCGAGGUUAAGGCUACUGAAAGGAGAAAGGCCCUUGAAGAGAUUUUGUAUACUUUGGUGGUGCAGAAAUUCAUGGACGCUAAUGUUUCUUUAGUACCUGCCAUUACCCCCACUGCUUCAUACCCUUCUGGCCAAGUUGAUUCAUGGCCAAGUCAAAAUGAGAAGCUCGAGCAGCUUCACUCUCCCGAAGCGUACGAGAUGAUUCAGAACCACCUGUCUCUCAUCCUAGGAAAUCGGUUGGGUGACUCGACCUCCUUAGCUCAGAUUAGCAAACUCAGAGUCGGCCAGGUUUAUGCAGCCUCUGUCAUGUAUGGGUACUUCCUCAAACGGGUUGACCAGAGGUUUCAGCUUGAGAAGACAAUGAAGAUCCUUCCAAGUGCAAUGGGUCCCGAAGACAGUGAUAUUCAGACAUCCGUGGGGCAGGACAUGAGGCCUGGCGGUGGAGAGGAUACUUUGCAAGCAGGGGCUUCUUCGCAUCCUGAAGUCUCUUCCUGGGCUGGAGGCAUUAGUUCUGGGGGUUUUGGUAAUGCGAUCAAGCCUUCCCGUUUGCGUACUUAUGUGAUGUCGUUUGAUGGAGAGACCCUUCAUAGGUAUGCAACAAUUAGAUCGAGGGAGGCCGUUAGCAUCAUUGAAAAGCACACCGAGGCAUUGUUUGGGCGACCCGAUAUUGUCAUCACACCUCAGGGGACUGUUGAUUCCUCCAAGGAUGAUCACAUCAAAAUUAGCUUUGGUGGUUUGAGGAGACUUGUUUUGGAAGCUGUGACUUUUGGCUCUUUUCUUUGGGACGUCGAGAGCUAUGGUGGAUCCAGGAUCAUCAUUUUGUUGCAAACUGAGUUAUGUCAAGUUCCAUUCCAGUUCCGCCAUAGUUAAAACACGGUUCAGUUUAUUGUGGUAGGAUACAGGCUGCUAAUUGGCUGUGCCCUUUAUGUAAAAAUGGGAUUAAUGGAUUGCUACUUUGUGUAAAACAUUUUGAGUUAUUUGCCAAGGCAAUACAAGCAAAUUUGUCCAUUUUUUAUGCUGUAUAUAAUGGUGUAUUUGUUUCAUACAUAAACUCCUUGCUUUUUGUCAACUUUUGAACUUGUAAAAAAAUUUCAUGUUAAUUUGGGAAAUUUUUUCAGAAUGAAACUCAAAAUGUACUUUUCAUUAGAAUGCAAGAAUUUGCAUUGGCAACUUUUUUGAUUUUUUUUGUAAGCGUGGGUUACACUCAGAACGCAAAUUUGGUUCAUAAGAAGACAACUUGGCAAAAUCCAAUCCUUAUGAGUCAUUCCGUUUCUUGAAUGUUUAGCGCCUUCUCCAUGGACUUUGUGCGACCCAAACCGUACCGGAACAUUCAUCAUAGAAAAGCAAUUCUGCAUCAAUCCUGGUAUCAUUUGCAUUUUCAUGCAAAAGCUGCACUGCCCGUUCAUAAGCUGAAAUUCCCUUUAAUAAUUCUUUGUUCUUCGAUCCUUUCCAUGCCUUCGACCCACCACCGCUGGUCCAGGUUGCAUUUGGUGCACACAAAUUUUCCAAGAUAACAUGUUUUCCUUUUUUUCAUACGCAUCCGUUGGUUCACCUGGGUUUCAUGCAUUAAAAACGUUCAAGGUUUGCCUGAGAUCGCAAAAUCAUACGAGAGAUCGAAACACGUAUACAAACGUCUCUCUCUCUUCUCUCUUCUCUCUCUCUUCCUCUCUCUUCUUCUCUCUCUCAUGCAUAGCAGCACAAGAAGUUACCUCAAGAAUGGGCAGAAUUUGGUCUACUACUUCUUUGGUGUCUCCAUGAGACCCUAUGCUUCUGAUUGUGUUGAUCCAACGACUUACUUAUUUUGUUUACAAGAAUUUCCUUAAUGCAAAAUCUAGAUCCUGUUCCCAACAUAAACAAAUGUAUUAUGUUUACUGGCAGGAAAAUCCAUUGUUGUAAAUGGGAACAUGAUGGGAGAAAAUUAGGAAUGCCACUAUCGCGGUAUCUCAACUCUCAAGUCAAUAACACACCGCAUGCGUUUUAAAUUUCUCAUAGAGCAGUUUGUGAUUGAUUUGAGAUACUGUCAAGCGAAAUCCCUGUUUCGUUCUCAAGCUGAUGAGGAACGGGAGGAGUACCUUCAGGAGGUUGGAGAUGUACUCCUUCCUAGGAAGAACACCUCUCCAGUCAUGCUUGUAGUACUUUUGCCUCAAAAAGUACUUGUCCACGAAAGGGUUGGUGUCAAUGAAGAAGAAAUCUGCAACUUGUGUGUUGACAAGAAAGGACCUGAGGCAAAGCCACCGGCUGUCCAUCUUCCUAAGGACCGGACUCAACUGGGCCAAAGCGUUUCCCCGGUAGUCAUGGUUGCCGAGAACUGAAAUCGACCAGAUUUUCCCGCCAACAUAAAAACAAAGUCAGCUGAGCUCCAUCCCAAUUCAAUUGCCACUAUUGUUACGAAAAUCAGAGGACAUCCAUGUAUAACAUAUAUUGCUGAAUUUAACAAUUGAAUGUGCAUUGAAGAAUCAACGAGAAUUUAACGGGUGAAUCUGAACUGACUUAAAAAUGUACAAAGCAACGAACUCACCAAGAUACCAUUGCUUUUGCAGGCUCUGAGCAGUGUAGAUUUCAGUAAACGACUUUAGAAAUGCAGGGUCGUUGACGCUGGUCAAUCCCCUGUUGUAAAAGUUGUCACCCGUGGAGAUGACGAAGUCUACGUUUAAUUUGGCUCCAAUCUUCCCCAUCUGCAAUUAAGUAUUUACAAAAUGCAAUUGUACUUGUACAUAGAGGAAAAGAACAGCCACUCAUUACUUUUAGGAAGGAAAAGGAAGGAUCCUAUUUCUUUUCAUGUGGAUUCCGGGAAUUUCAUAAUUGGUGACCGUUCAUUGUAUAUCUUAUGGUCAGUUUUUAUUAGGUAAUAUUAUACAAUUUAAAAAUCUUUUUGUGCGUCAAUGAUAUACCGUAUAAUAGGUGCAUGAGCGGAUUCUGGAAUUCACAAAAAAAAAAUCCGAGGAGAAUCUUUUUCAUCAAAAGCAUUUUUAGCAACAUUCCAUUGAAAAAGUUAAAUGUGCUUUAUGAGUUAAUAAAAAGCACUUUCAAUAUAUGUCAUAUAUAAAAGUAAAGCAAACCUCUGUCCAACUCUAUGUCGAUGAUAAAAAAGUAAAACAAAUCCUGGUGUAGCAAAGCUGAUGAGAACAAUGUGUUCCUCCUCCGUAACUCGCAUAAAAAUGAUAAAAAAGAACAACAAAGUAAAGAAAUAUAGUUAACAAAGUUAACCUGAAAAGCAACUUGAGAUUGAUUUGUAACACCCCUUCUAUCCCAGUCACCAACCGCCAAAAAAGUGAGUGGCCAUAGUUUCACCAGGGUGUUCAAUCGCUGAAGCUCCGCACGUAGACACAGAAAAGAGCUCACAACAGACAAUAUUCUUGCAAACAGACCACCCACAGUAACCCCAGGCAAUGGACAUCAUAGCCAAUAAUUAUGUUGUCUGUCUCUGCUGUGGUAGUGUGUGUGUGGAGAGAGAGAGAGAGAGAGAGGAGAAGAGGGAGGGUGGUUGGAAGUUGGAACAAGGAAGAAAGUCAACGUUGAGUGUAUUUGAUAUUAUAUAAGAAGGGGAAAGUGCUUUAGUUAAUAUGAAUUAUUGUUGUGAGGGCCAUGUAAUAUGUACAUUAGAUCUUUGAAUAGGAAACUGUACGGACAUACAACAUACAAGGGAAAGUAAAUGCUACGUAGACCCUUCUAAAUACCGUUUGAAGUUAAAAAGAAAACUAAUGAAAGAUGAUUCGUUAAUUUGAAUUUUAACUAAUAAAUGACAAAAUAAGCAUAAUGAAUAGUAUGAAGUUAACUUUUUAAUGUGAAAAGUACAUUUUUCGUUAAAAUAAAUAUGUUAUAAAAAAUAUUUGCGUUAAAUCCCUAUAUUAUCUUCCAAGUCCGGCAUCUGUGGUCAAAUAGUGAUCAAUGACUGGCGUCCCAUCGAUGGGUCUAGGUCCCAGGGUUGCUUCCGUCCCUCCUCUCAAUCCUAACUUUGUUAUUUCCCUUUCAGCUUGUUUUUCUCUUUCACUUUCAGGUUUUGGGAUCGUACUCUGGCAAUUGAGUGAUAGAGAAUCCUACUUCAUUGAGUGAUGGUCCUGCACUGAUCACUUGCUAGCUCAAUUCCAAAUAUAUACAGAAAGGAAUGAAGCAUGAUGCAUAAGUUUUUCUACAAAUCAUUAGGUCUUUUGAUGAUAGAACAACUCUUUUAAUAAUAUACAAGUCAUGCAACGAAUUCACAUGAACUUGCUCUACAUUCGAUCUAACACUGAUAUAGUUUUCAACUUAAUAAUUUGGGACAAACUUCAGCGCCGAAGUUGAUCCACACCGAUGACUUAUACCAAGCCGUACAAACUCCAACAAUAUAUAUCUUGGUAAACAUUAAAAUGGUAUCUUGGUAUAUUUUGUACAAGGUGCUAGGAAGAACUGAAAUGAUGGCUUAAUUUUGUGUUCUAGUGUCUCAUCACCUAGGAUAUGUUGAAAGAGAGCUACGCUAAACGUCCUUAUUUAGGUUUACCUCAUCUUGAUUCUUGUCCAAGAAACCUCUUAUUUAUAUAUUAUAGGUUAUUGAGUUUCAUACAUGAGGGAAUGUUUCCGGCUCAGAACAUAUUUGCCAAGUAGCUAGAAUUUGGGUUCGUUUAAAAUAUUAUAUUGAGCAAUAAAAUUGUGGUGAUCGAAAGAAAUCGACUAAUUGCAUGUGUGUAAGGCAGUGUACUUUGCCUCCUUGCUCUGCAGUUCGAUCCUUCUUGUCGUACAUCAAAGUAAUUUAGAAUAUCGUCAUGUUAAAAAUAAGAAUCGACCAAUUUGAUAAGAAUCAAUUUAGCCGAAAGAGGUACAUUUUAAGAAUAAGAACAAUUUGGGAAUUGAAUUCAACUACAAUUUUUGUUCUUGCAACAACAAUCUAUAUAUAAUACGUUCCCCAUAGGAUCUAGCUACGAAGCUUGAUUUAUAUGGAGGGGUGAAGCUGCUUGGAAGCAUUC
rnacentral:lncRNA from 1 species